GUGCUCGCUUCGGCAGCACAUGUACUAAAAUUGGAAUGAUACAGAGAUUAGCAUGGCCCCUGCGCAAGGAUGUCACGCGAAUUCGUGAAGCGUUCCAUUUUUAU
rnacentral:snRNA from 1 species